ACACAUGCAAGUCGAGGGGCAGCAUCAUCAAAGCUUGCUUUGGUGGAUGGCGACCGGCGCACGGGUGAGUAACACGUAUCCAACCUGCCGACAACACUGGGAUAGCCUUUCGAAAGAAAGAUUAAUACCGGAUGGCAUAAUUAUUCCGCAUGGGAUAAUUAUUAAAGAAUUUCGGUUGUCGAUGGGGAUGCGUUCCAUUAGGUAGUUGGCGGGGUAACGGCCCACCAAACCUACGAUGGAUAGGGGUUCUGAGAGGAAGGUCCCCCACAUUGGAACUGAGACACGGUCCAAACUCCUACGGGAGGCAGCAGUGAGGAAUAUUGGUCAAUGGACGAGAGUCUGAACCAGCCAAGUAGCGUGAAGGAUGACUGCCCUAUGGGUUGUAAACUUCUUUUAUACGGGAAUAAAGUGAGCCACGUGUGGCUUUUUGUAUGUACCGUAUGAAUAAGGAUCGGCUAACUCCGUGCCAGCAGCCGCGGUAAUACGGAGGAUCCGAGCGUUAUCCGGAUUUAUUGGGUUUAAAGGGAGCGUAGGCGGGUUGUUAAGUCAGUUGUGAAAGUUUGCGGCUCAACCGUAAAAUUGCAGUUGAUACUGGCGACCUUGAGUGCAACAGAGGUAGGCGGAAUUCGUGGUGUAGCGGUGAAAUGCUUAGAUAUCACGAAGAACUCCGAUUGCGAAGGCAGCUUACUGGAUUGUAACUGACGCUGAUGCUCGAAAGUGUGGGUAUCAAACAGGAUUAGAUACCCUGGUAGUCCACACAGUAAACGAUGAAUACUCGCUGUUGGCGAUAUACAGUCAGCGG
rnacentral:rRNA from 1 species